rnacentral:rRNA from 1 species
AGAGUUUGAUCCUGGCUCAGAUUGAACGCUGGCGGAAUGCUUUACACAUGCAAGUCGAGCGGCAGCGCGGGGAGGGUAACCUCUCUGGCGGCGAGCGGCGAACGGGUGAGUAACGCAUCGGAACGUACCUAGUCGUGGGGGAUAACGCACCGAAAGGUGUGCUAAUACCGCAUACGUCCUGAGGGAGAAAGCGGGGGAUCGCAAGACCUCGCGCGAUUAGAGCGGCCGAUGUCUGAUUAGCUAGUUGGUGGGGUAAAGGCCUACCAAGGCGACGAUCAGUAGCUGGUCUGAGAGGACGACCAGCCACACUGGGACUGAGACACGGCCCAGACUCCUACGGGAGGCAGCAGUGGGGAAUUUUGGACAAUGGGGGAAACCCUGAUCCAGCCAUUCCGCGUGAGUGAAGAAGGCCUUCGGGUUGUAAAGCUCUUUCAGCAGGAACGAAAAGGUGUGGGUCAAUACCCUGCAUCGAUGACGGUACCUGAAGAAGAAGCACCGGCUAACUACGUGCCAGCAGCCGCGGUAAUACGUAGGGUGCGAGCGUUAAUCGGAAUUACUGGGCGUAAAGCGUGCGCAGGUGGUUGUUUAAGACAGAUGUGAAAUCCCCGGGCUCAACCUGGGAACUGCGUUUGUGACUGGACAGCUAGAGUGCGGCAGAGGGACUUUCUUAGUACCGCAGCUAACGCGUGAAGUUGACCGCCUGGGGAGUACGGUCGCAAGAUUAAAACUCAAAGGAAUUGACGGGGACCCGCACAAGCGGUGGAUGAUGUGGAUUAAUUCGAUGCAACGCGAAAAACCUUACCUACCCUUGACAUGCCAGGAAUCCUUGAGAGAUUAGGGAGUGCCCGAAAGGGAACCUGGACACAGGUGCUGCAUGGCUGUCGUCAGCUCGUGUCGUGAGAUGUUGGGUUAAGUCCCGCAACGAGCGCAACCCUUGUCGUUAAUUGCCAUCAUUUAGUUGGGCACUUUAGCGAGACUGCCGGUGACAAACCGGAGGAAGGUGGGGAUGACGUCAAGUCCUCAUGGCCCUUAUGGGUAGGGCUUCACACGUCAUACAAUGGUCGGUACAGAGGGUUGCCAACCCGCGAGGGGGAGCCAAUCCCAGAAAGCCGAUCGUAGUCCGGAUUGUAGUCUGCAACUCGACUGCAUGAAGUCGGAAUCGCUAGUAAUCGCGGAUCAGCAUGUCGCGGUGAAUACGUUCCCGGGUCUUGUACACACCGCCCGUCACACCAUGGGAGCGGGUUUCACCAGAAGUAGGUAGUCUAACCGCAAGGAGGGCGCUUACCACGGUGAGAUUCGUGACUGGGGUGAAGUCGUAACAAGGU